AAUGUGGCCGACCAGGAGAAGAAAGAUCGGAUCGCGGCUCUCAUACCUGAUAUGCCCUGGAUUGCCGAGGCGCCCGUACUCCUGGUUUUCUGCGGUGAUGGACGGCGGAUUCGGCGCAUCUGCGAACUCCGGAAAACCCGGUUCUCGCAUGAUCCGCUCGAUGCGUUUUUCAACGCGACGGUGGACGCGGCGCUGGCUAUGUCUGCGUUUAUCCGCGCAGCCGAAGCGGAAGGUCUGGCGACCUGUCCGGUCAGCGCGGUGCGGGAGCCUGUUGAGGAAAUUGCCGAGCUUCUGGCGCUGCCUGACGCCGUCUUCCCUGUUGCGGGGUUGUGUGUCGGUUACCCGGUC
rnacentral:rRNA from 1 species